rnacentral:lncRNA from 1 species
CAACUAUGAAAAGGGGCUAAUUUCCAUAGAAUUCUGUGCCACUGAUAAACAAAUAGCUGACAUCUUCACCAAGGCAUUAAGUAGAGAAAACUUUGAGGGGAACAUGUUGGAAUUAGCGAUGAUUAAGAUCACCUUAGAGUUCAUGUUCAGAAUGCAUAAUGAAAAAAAAGAAAAAAACAAAUAUUUUUUUUGGUUAGUAGUUCUUAAAUCUGUGAAUAUGAGACUAAUUUCUACUCAGCUUAAUACUUUUGAAUAAGUAUACUCCUGUGACAUGUGGUUAUGUAAUUCACUAA